CCAACAGGGAUUGCCUCAGUAACGGCGAGUGAAGCGGCAACAGCUCAAAUUUGAAAUCUGGCGUCUUCGGCGUCCGAGUUGUAAUUUGCAGAGGGAGUCUCGGGUGGAGCGCCGGUCCAAGUCCCUUGGAACAGGAUACCAGAGAGGGUGAGAGUCCCGUAUCUGGCCGGUUGCGACCCCGUGUGAGGCCCCUUCGACGAGUCGAGUUGUUUGGGAAUGCAGCUCCAAGUGGGUGGUAAAUUCCAUCUAAAGCUAAAUACUGGCCAGAGACCGAUAGCGCACAAGUAGAGUGAUCGAAAGAUGAAAAGCACUUUGAAAAGAGAGUUAAAAAGUACGUGAAAUUGUUGAAAGGGAAGCGUAUACGGCCAGACUUGGCCGCGGUUGCUCAGCCCGUCUUCUGGCGGGUGUACUCUUCCGCGGUCAGGCCAGCAUCGGUUUGGGCGGUCGGAUAAAGGCGUUGGGAAUGUGGCUCCUCGGAGUGUUAUAGCCCUUCGUGCAAUGCGGCCAGCCCGGACCGAGGACCGCGCUCUGCUAGGAUGCUGGCGUAAUGGCCUUAUACGGCCC
rnacentral:rRNA from 2 species